rnacentral:rRNA from 1 species
UACGUAGGGUGCGAGCGUUGUCCGGAAUUAUUGGGCGUAAAGAGCUCGUAGGCGGUGUGUCACGUCGGCCGUGAAAACCUGGGGCUUAACUCUGGGCGUGCGGUCGAUACGGGCAUCACUAGAGUUCGGCAGGGGAGACUGGAAUUCCUGGUGUAGCGGUGAAAUGCCCAGAUAUCAGGAGGAACACCGGUGGCGAAGGCGGGUCUCUGGGCCGAUACUGACGCUGAGGAGCGAAAGCAUGGGGAGCGAACAGG